rnacentral:lncRNA from 1 species
UGGGUUUGUGAUUUAGAAAUUAGGACAACAAGAAUAUUUGUGGAUAGAUGAGUAUUCUUUCGGAGUUUUUCAUCAGUAUGUUAUAUUUUUAAAUAAUUUUCUUAAAAACUAAUAUUUUUGGAAAUUUUUCAUUUUUUAGAGAAAUAUUAUAGAUUUGGGUUUGUGAUUUAGAAAUUGGGACAAAAAGAAUAUUUGUGGAUAGAUGAGUAUUCUUUCGGAGUUUUUCAUUAGUAGGUUAUAUU